AACGUGGACAAAAUCACUGGAAUCGACAGCCUAGGUGCCCAGGUCAAGGUACAAGGGACACCAGACAUUUCCAUGCCACAGACACCUGUCCUGUCGGGAACAGAGACCAGUUAUGCCAGGAUGUAAACAGCACCCAGCUUCUCUCGGAUCUCCCUCACCC